UCGGCUGCAGCCCAGGCUUUGGAACGCAGCUAAAGAAUCCCUGUGGUGUCAACCAACCCUGACAGCUAGCCUAGCUGCUGAUCUACAGGCUAACAACCAAGCUAACAUAACUCCUGCCUCAACCGGUGAACAAAAGCCAGAGAACAGGAGCCAAGCUGAGGUAUCUGGAAGCUAAGUAGCUACACUGCUGACUUUAGCUGGGCGCCCAGUCUUUUGUAUGAGGAUCUGAUAAAGGCUAAAAGGGAACCAGUGCACUGAAGGAUCUGUGCUGAAAGGAACCUUACCGUUCCCUUUCCGAACGCAGAAGAGCGAGUCAGUCACUGUCACCAGCUGGGGGUCCACGUUGGCUCGGAACAUCAGCCAGCUCUCAACACACACUCCAGGCCUCAAAUCAAUUUACCUGGUUUCCUGCCUGCAUCCACUGAAAACAGAGCUCAGGUUGGCAACUCCACAAUCCACCACAUCACAGCAGCAGCCGAU